GAUAUUGUACUAUUUGGAUAGCGGCGGUUAGACUGCCAGGUCCCCAUCUCUUGCUUUGUCACUGGGUCCCCUCUGUACCAGAGGCGGGGUCAGUUGGCCUUGCGUCAUUUGGAUGGUGGUAGUUGGACCGCUGGGUCUCCUUUGGUUGGAUAGCGGCAGUUGGACUGCCGGGUCGUCAUGCGUCAUUGCAACUGGGUCCCCUCUGUACCAGAGGCUGGGUCCAUUGAUAUUGUACUAUUUGGAUAGCGGCGGUUAGACUGCCAGGUCCCCAUCUCUUGCUUUGUCACUGGGUCCCCUCUGUACCAGAGGCUGGGUCAGUUGGCCUUGCGUCAAUUGGAUGGUGGUAGUUGGACCGCUGGGUCUCCUUUGGUUGGAUAGCGGCAGUUGGACUGCCGGGUCACCAUGUGUCAUUGUAACUGGGUCCCCUCUGUACCAGAGGUUGGGCCCACUGGCGUUUUCCCCUCUCUUUUAGCCACACUAAGGCCUGUCUAGGUUGGUUAGUUCCCUGGGAUUCCUUGCAGUGGGGAACCCAUGAUUUGAAUCGGUUUGUCGUCGAGGCGCCGACACAAAAGGUGGGGGUAAAUGUGACAGAUUGGUCUACACCCCUCAAUCUGACUGAUUUUGGUCCUUUGUCUGUGAUUGGCUGGCCCAUUACUGGCAGGACUUUUAUGUUGAUAAAUGUAGUUUUUGGACGUGACGUGGGUCUCUUUCCGCCCCGCUGUUGUUUUGCCGGCAAAGGACGCCGGCUGGCGUGUGAGCUGCUGCUAGCCGUGAUCAUUAUCCGGUAGAUUUGGUACCUUCAGCCAUUCUUGCGUGGAACUGCACUCUGCUGUGAACUGGCGUUCACUUCGCGCUGCCUAUACUGCACCGGUGUGUACCUCUGGUUGGUGUGUUGCCCCAUCAUCUGUGCCCUGUGGCAGGCCUGAUUUGUGGUGCCUAUGCCGGUCUUGGAGUAGCCACAGUGGUUGGCACCUGGGUUCCUGACUGCAGUCAGUGGAUGUGUGUGGUCCAAAUUGCGAUUGUUCCGAACUACGGAUCUAUGAUCAGGUUAGCGGUGCCUCUCUGACGCUGGGGAUUGCUAGCUACACUCCUCGGAGGUUGCUGUUUUGUUGCCGUCACACUCUGCGCCGGUUCCGACUGGCUCCACCUGCUCGUCCUGCUUUUGUUUGGUUUAAUUAUUUUUAUUUUCUGGUCCGUUUCUUGGGACGCCAGCCUCCUCGCUGCGCACUGCGCAGGUCUAGUUACCUGUGUGUGUUGUGAGGGCGUGUGUGUCUGUGCGUCUGUAUGCGUGUGUGAUUGUCAUCUAG